GAUGAACGCUGGCGGCGUGCCUAAUACAUGCAAGUCGAGCGAACAGACGAUGAGCUUGCUGCUCGCACGUGAGCGGCGGACGUGUGAGUAACACGUGUAUAACCUCCCUAUAAGACUGGUAUAACUUCGGGACACCGGAUCUAAUACCGUAGAAGAUAUUGAACCGCAGGGGGCAAUAGUGAAAUACGGUGGUUGGGGCACGUAUAGAGGGAUCUGCGCCGCAUUGGCUGGUUGGUAAGGUAACGGCUUACGAAGGGGACGAUGCGUAGCCGACGUGAGAGGGUGGUAGCCCACACGGGAACGGAGCCAGGGACCAGAGUCCUAAGGGAGGGAGCAGUAGGGAACCGUCGGCAAUGGGCGAAAGCAUGACGGAGCAACGCCGAGUGAGUGAUGAAGGUCUCCGGAUCGUAAAAAUCGGUUAUUAGGGAAAAACAGAUGUGUACGUAAAUAUGCACGUAUUGACGGUAACUAAUAAGAAAGCCACGGCUAACUACGUG
rnacentral:rRNA from 1 species